rnacentral:rRNA from 1 species
AAUAGAGUGCAAGCCCGCGAGUUGUUUUCUGCCACCGAAUACAUUAGCAUGGGAUAAUGGAAUAGGACCCUGUCCUCCUCUUUUCAGUUGGUUAAUUUAUGUGCGAGGAUCAGGGUAAUGAUUAAUAGGGAUAGUUGGGGGCAUUAAUAUUUAAUUGUCAGAGGUGAAAUUCUUGGAUUUAUGAAAGAUUAACUUCUGCGAAAGCAUCUGCCAAGGAUGUUUUCAUUAAUCAAGAACGAAAGUUAGGGGAUCGAAGACGAUCAGAUACCGUCGUAGUCUUAACCAUAAACGAUGCCGACCAGCGAUUAGGAGACGUUGAAUACAAAACACCGCUAAAGAUAAUUCAUUAUAUGGCUUCACGGCUGUAUAGUGUUUGUCUUUAGUUCUUGGUAGAUUAAUCCCGUUUGCACUUUGUGGGAA